AAGAAAAAGUGAUUGAUUGCUGUUGGUUUAUCAAUCACAUUGCGUGUCAACUAUAACAUGCAUACUGGACUUGUUUGGAUAGGACAACACUCAAAUUUACCUAUACCUGUGAUAAAGAGCAGUUAGAGACCAAAAGGUUAUUCAAACCCAUAAAGCAUUGACAAACUCUCAUUGCAAUGGCAAAAAAAACAAACGAUAACGACCAAAGAGCCAAACAACAGUUUGCAAAA
rnacentral:lncRNA from 1 species